GUCUGCCUACGGGGCGCAGCAGUGGGGAAUAUUGGGCAAUGGGCGCAAGCCUGACCCAGCAACGCCGCGUGAAGGAAGAAGGCUUUCGGGUUGUAAACUUCUUUUCUUGGGGACGAAGAAAGUGACGGUACCCAAGGAAUAAGCCACGGCUAACUACGUGCCAGCAGCCGCGGUAAUACGUAGGUGGCAAGCAUUAUCAGGAUUUAUUGGGUGUAAAGGGCGUGUAGGCGGGAUUGCAAGUCAGAUGUGAAAACCACG
rnacentral:rRNA from 1 species